AGAAGAGUCAUAAUGAUGAAACUCUCGAAAAAUCACCUCUCAAUUGCUACCGCACUCUCAAAAAAAAAAAAAAACCCUAAAUAUAAAAGGGUUAAAUAUAUAAUAGGGGUAAACUUGUCAACCAUUACAUAAAAAAAAUUUCGAACAAUUCAAUUCUUGACAUUUUGAACGAAGUGCAAUAAAAUUGAUUCAAACUUCACAA
rnacentral:lncRNA from 1 species